rnacentral:rRNA from 1 species
AUGCGGAAGCGCGAAGAUGGGCCUUUGAUGAGGAUAACUGUGUACUCCCUCUGUCUAGGUGAGUGCAACCUAGGUGGCUGUAGAUUGGACGAGAAAGAGCACCGAGACGAGCAAAACUUCCAACCACGGCACUGUUACAAAUGGAAGCAAAAUCAGCAACUAAUACCUAUUUAUAAGGAUGCCUUUUCAGCUCUCCAAGCAGGCCCAAUCAACGCCCUGCCGCGAUGCAUGCAGUGGUCAUUCUGGUGCAUCAAGGACGGCAUGCAGAUCGUUCCACACUUGAGAAGAGGAAAAAUGGAAAGGUAG